rfam:Gossypium hirsutum cultivar TM-1 chromosome 9, whole genome shotgun sequence
UGUUAAAAAUUCCAUCCAUUUCUACUAUUAGAAACUAGCGUGGCAAACAAAAUAACCAGACAGUUAUAUGUGACAUGUCACGUGUACCUCAUGCUGACAUUCAGAGACCAGUUUUAACAGCAAAAAAGGAUGGAAUUUUUAACA